rnacentral:rRNA from 1 species
UACGUAGGUGGCAAGCGUUGUCCGGAUUUACUGGGCGUAAAGAGCGCGCAGGCGGUUAAUUAAGUCGAAUGUGAAAGCCCCCGGCUCAACUGGGGAGGGUCACGCGAUACUGAUCGACUGGAAGGCAGGAGAGGGUAGUGGAAUUCCCGGUGUAGUGGUGAAAUGCGUAGAUAUCGGGAGGAACACCAGUGGCGAAGGCGACUACCUGGCCUGUUCUUGACGCUGAGGCGCGAAAGCUAGGGGAGCAAACGGG